UACAGGGGGUGCAAACGUUGCUCGGAAUCAUUGGGCGUAAAGCGCACGUAGGCGGUCUGUUAUGUCGGAUGUGAAAGCCCUUGGCUCAACUGAGGAAGUGCAUCCGAAACUGGCAGGCUAGAGUACUAAAGAGGGGUCGCGGAAUUCCCGGUGUAGAGGUGAAAUUCGUAGAUAUCGGGAGGAACACCAGUGGCGAAGGCGGUGCUCUGGGCCGAGCCUGACGCUGAGACGCGAAAGCGUGGGAGCAAC
rnacentral:rRNA from 1 species